rnacentral:rRNA from 1 species
UACGUAGGGUGCGAGCGUUAAUCGGAAUUACUGGGCGUAAAGCGUGCGCAGGCGGUUUGUUAAGACAGAUGUGAAAUCCCCGGGCUUAACCUGGGAACUGCAUUUGUGACUGCACGGCUAGAGUGUGUCAGAGGGGGGUAGAAUUCCACGUGUAGCAGUGAAAUGCGUAGAUAUGUGGAGGAAUACCGAUGGCGAAGGCAGCCCCCUGGGAUAACACUGACGCUCAUGCACGAAAGCGUGGGGAGCAAACAGG